AAUAAUAUUAUUUCGUGCGUGUAAUUCAUCUUUUUUGAUUGCUCAUAACCUGUUCUUUUUUGGUUGUUUGUUUAGGUAUCUAAGAAUGAUGAUGAUUACACUCGGAGCAAGCCUUGUUGCGGCGCUGCAAGUGUUGCCCUCCUCCUCCCCAAGGGCAAGGUGAAGGAAGGUGCCUGUGUGGUUCUUCUGCAGCUCGUAGCGAGGAUUGCUGUGUCCAACCUGCACAAGAAUGCCAAGAAGUCCUUCUCGGAGACGAUUAAGGACAUGUACCUGCACUACAACGAGAGAUCUGGGCUGCUUCUUUGUGGCUUCCAAACUUGAAAUGUUUGUUUGGAAGUUAGUUUAGUUUUUUGUUGUGGAUUCACAGCUUCUCACAUGUACCAUCCUCUUAGACCUUUAGAUUUCCAAAGAAACUAAAUGAAGAUAUGGUGGUAUGGUCUCAA